UGACUUGCGGAGGUCAUUACCGAGUGAGGGCCCUCUGGGUCCAACCUCCCACCCGUGUUUAUUUUACCUUGUUGCUUCGGCGGGCCCGCCUUAACUGGCCGCCGGGGGGCUCACGCCCCCGGGCCCGCGCCCGCCGAAGACACCCUCGAACUCUGUCUGAAGAUUGAAGUCUGAGUGAAAAUAUAAAUUAUUUAAAACUUUCAACAACGGAUCUCUUGGUUCCGGCAUCGAUGAAGAACGCAGCGAAAUGCGAUACGUAAUGUGAAUUGCAAAUUCAGUGAAUCAUCGAGUCUUUGAACGCACAUUGCGCCCCCUGGUAUUCCGGGGGGCAUGCCUGUCCGAGCGUCAUUGCUGCCCUCAAGCCCGGCUUGUGUGUUGGGCCCCGUCCUCCGAUCUCCGGGGGACGGGCCCGAAAGGCAGCGGCGGCACCGCGUCCGGUCCUCGAGCGUAUGGGGCUUUGUCACCCGCUCUGUAGGCCCGGCCGGCGCUUGCCGAUCAACCCAAAUUUUUAUCCAGGUUGACCUCGGAUCAGGUAGGGAUACCCGCUGAACUUAAGCAUAUCAAAAAACCGGAAGGAAAGG
rnacentral:rRNA from 1 species